rnacentral:rRNA from 1 species
GAUGAACGCUGGCGGCGUGCUUAACACAUGCAAGUCGAACGGUGAACCCGUAGCUUGCUGUGUUGGAGGAGUGGCGAACGGGUGAGUAACACGUGAGCAACCUGCCCCUGACUUUGGGAUAAGCUCUGGAAACGGCGCCUAAUACAGUAUAUGAUACGUCAUCGCAUGGUCUGCGUCUGAAAAUCGGUUCGGUUGGGGAUGGACUCGCGGCUUAUCAGCUUGUUGGUGGGGUAGUGGCUCACCAAGGCGUCGACGGGUAGCCGGCCUGAGAGGGUGACCGGCCACACGGGGACUGAGAGACGGACCAGACUCCUACGGGAGGCAGCAGUGGGGAAUAUUGCACAAUGGGCGCAAGCCUGAUGCAGCAACGCCGCGUGAGGGAUGACGGCCUUCGGGUUGUAAACCGCUUUUGGCUGGGACGAAGCGAAAGUGACGGUACCUGCAGAAAAAGCGCCGGCUAACUACGUG